AAAGAAGCUGUCUAUCAUAAAGAAUGUUUGAAGUAUGCAAGCUUACCCAACAUGGUUAGAUUUUAGCUAAACCAAACACAAAAAAAGCGCAUUCAGGUAUGACUCUAUCUCUCUAAUUUUGCAUAAGUUCUACUGAUAUAACACAAUACAAAAACACACACUGAGGCACGUUAUUUGUUUUCCACCUUUGAGCCUUUCUAGCCACCCUUAAUGUUAUUGUCAUCUGUUGUUAACCCCUUUGAGCCUGUAACCCUUUGUUUGUGUAAACCAUCAUGUUAACCCUUAGCCAUACACUCCCUACCCUAGCUCGGCAUGAAUGUGUAAUGUAAAACUUGUGCAAAAAGAUAAGUUUGGGGUAUGCAUCCAUAAAUUGAAAAUGUUGUUGAAAAAUGGCAAGUGCAAAAAAAAGAAAAAAAAAAGAGAAAAAGUGUGUAGAAACAUCCGCUUCUACCGAAAAAAAAAAGAAAAAAAAAUGAAAAAUAAGCACUUGCCUUAGAAAUAGACUCAUGCAUUAAAAUGAAGUUGAGUGGAAAAAGAGUAAAGAUUUGACGACACCCCAAAAAAAUAAAAUUUCUACACAAAGAAAAACAAAAACAUGAAUGCCGAGUUGUAAAACCUUUU
rnacentral:lncRNA from 1 species